GCCUGGGUGACCCUCAGUGGUCUGAGAUGCAGGUUUCAAACUGUAGCUGUCUGGCGACAGAGUGGUUCAUUUCCAACUUUCGGGC
rnacentral:tRNA from 1 species